rnacentral:rRNA from 1 species
UGAGGAAUAUUGGUCAAUGGGCGAGAGCCUGAACCAGCCACGUCGCGUGAAGGAAGACUGACCUUACGGUUUGUAAACUUCUUUUGUAGAGGGGUAAUGGCAGAUACGUGUAUUUGCGUGAAAGUACUCUACGAAUAAGCAUCGGCUAACUCCGUGCCAGCAGCCGCGGUAAUACGGGGGAUGCGAGCGUUAUCCGGAAUUAUUGGGUUUAAAGGGUGCGCAGGUGGCUAAUCAGGUCAGUGGUGAAAAGCUAUGGCUCAACCAUGGUCUUGCCAUUGAAACCGUAUAGCUAGAGAGGAUACGAAGUAGGCGGAAUGUGUGGUGUAGCGGUGAAAUGCAUAGAUAUCACACAGAACUCCGAUUGCGAAGGCAGCUUACCAGGCUUUAUCUGACACUUAGGCACGACAGCGUGGGGAUCAAACAGG